UACUCCUACGGGACGCAGCAGUGAGGAAUAUUGGUCAAUGGAGGAAAAUCUGAACCAGCCAAGUCGCGUGAAGGAUGACGGUCCUAUGGAUUGUAAACUUCUUUAGUAGGUGAGUAAGGAUAGGUACGUGUACCUAUUAGAAAGUAGCCUAAGAAUAAAUAUCGGCUAACUCCGUG
rnacentral:rRNA from 1 species